rnacentral:rRNA from 1 species
GACGAACCGUGCGAGCGUUGUUCGGAAUCACUGGGCUUAAAGGGCGCGUAGGCGGCUGAUCAAGUCAGGGGUGAAAUCUUUCGGCUCAACCGGAAAAGUGCCUUUGAUACUGGUCAGCUUGAGGGAGGUGGGGGCAUGUGGAACUUCCGGUGGAGCGGUGAAAUGCGUUGAUAUCGGAAGGAACGCCGGUGGCGAAAGCGACGUGCUGGCCCUCUUCUGACGCUGAGGCGCGAAAGCUAGGGGAGCGAACGGG